rnacentral:rRNA from 1 species
AUUGAACGCUGGCGGAAUGCUUUACACAUGCAAGUCGAGCGGCAGCACGGGAGCUUGCUCCUGGUGGCGAGUGGCGAACGGGUGAGUAAUGCAUCGGAACGUACCUAUGAGUGGGGGAUAACUAUCCGAAAGGAUAGCUAAUACCGCAUACGCCCUGAGGGGGAAAGCGGGGGAGCGUAAGACCUCGCGCUGAUAGAGGGGCCGAUGUUCGAUUAGCUAGUUGGUGAGGUAAAGGCUCACCAAGGCGACGAUCGAUAGCUGGUCUGUGAGGAUGAUCAGCCACACUGGAACUGAGACACGGUCCAGACUCCAACGGGAGGAAGCAGUUGGGAAUUUUGGACAAUGGGGGCAACCCUGAUCCAGCCAUUCCGCGUGAGUGAAGAGGGCCUUCGGGUUGUAAAGCUCUUUCGGCAGGAACGAAACGGCCAUUACUAAUACUAGUGGUCAAUGACGGUACCUGAAGAAGAAGCACCGGCUAACUACGUGCCAGCCGCCGCCGUAACAC